AGCCUUUACUAAAACUUUUCUAUAAACAAAGCUACCAAUUCUGGGACAUAGAAGACAAAACAUAUUAAACUUACAGGAAGACUAGAUCUGAGAAUUAGGAUUAUACUAUAGUUACAAUUGAUCAAAAUUUGUUAAGACAUCAAAGCAAUAUACUUGGGUCUUGGCUACGAAUCUCCCCACGGGUCUUUCAUUACAAUAACACAUAAACAACUCUCAAAGUGUUUCUACACAAUAUAUACUUCACUCUUCGGUCUUCAGAUUCGCAAACUUGAUACUUGAUGAAAAAACCCGUCCUUUCACGACUAAUUUACUUAAUCAGCGAUUAUUCCAAUGCCAUGAUUCAUAAACAUUUUUAGUUCAUAUUGAUCACGUUUCAUUCCGUUUCAUCGCG